rnacentral:rRNA from 1 species
GACGAACGCUGGUGGCGUGCUUAACACAUGCAAGUCGAACGGAAAGGCCCUGCUUUUGUGGGGUGCUCGAGUGGCGAACGGGUGAGUAACACGUGAGUAACCUGCCCUUGACUUUGGGAUAACUUCAGGAAACUGGGGCUAAUACCGGAUAGGAGCUCCUGCUGCAUGGUGGGGGUUGGAAAGUUUCGGCGGUUGGGGAUGGACUCGCGGCUUAUCAGCUUGUUGGUGGGGUAGUGGCUUACCAAGGCUUUGACGGGUAGCCGGCCUGAGAGGGUGACCGGCCACAUUGGGACUGAGAUACGGCCCAGACUCCUACGGGAGGCAGCAGUGGGGAAUAUUGCACAAUGGGCGGAAGCCUGAUGCAGCAACGCCGCGUGCGGGAUGACGGCCUUUGGGUUGUAAACCGCUUUCGCCUGUGACGAAGCGUGAGUGACGGUAAUGGGUAAAGAAGCACCGGCUAACUACGUG